CCGGAGCGGCUGCGGAGCCGGGCGCUCUCCGCCUUCAAGUUGCGGGGCUUGCUGCUCCGUGGUGAAGCUAUUAAGUACCUCACAGAAGCUCUUCAGUCUGUCAGUGAAUUAGAGCUUGAAGAUAAACUGGAAAAGAUAAUUGAUGCAGUUGAGAAGCAACCCUUGUCAUCAAACAUGAUUGAACGAUCUGUGGUGGAAGCAGCAGUCCAGGAAUGCAGUCAGUCUGUUGAUGAAACUAUUCUGUUAAUGACCAACCACCCUGCACCAAAUUUAUUUGGAACAGCAAGAGAUAAAGCAGAGAUGUUUCGUGAGCGAUACACCAUUUUGCACCAGAGGACCCACAGGCAUGAAUUAUUUACUCCUCCGGUGAUAGGUUCUCACCCUGAUGAAAGCGGAAGCAAAUUCCAGCUUAAAACAAUAGAAACCUUAUUGGGUAGUACAACCAAAAUCGGAGAUGUGAUUGUUCUUGGAAUGAUAACGCAGUUAAAAGAGGGAAAAUUUUUUCUGGAAGAUCCUACUGGAACAGUACAACUAGACCUUAGUAAAGCUAUAUCCUUCACUUUGGUUUAUACACAGAGGCAUGCUUUGUCUUAGCAGAAGGUUGGUUUGAAGAUCAAGUGUUUCAUGUCAAUGCCUUUGGAUUUCCACCCACUGAGCCCUCUAGUACUACUAGGGCAUACUAUGGAAAUAUUAAUUUUUUUGGAGGUCCUUCUAAUACAUCUGUGAAGACUUCUGCAAAACUAAAACAAUUAGAAGAGGAGAAUAAAGAUGCUAUGUUUGUGUUUUUAUCUGAUGUUUGGUUGGACCAGGUGGAAGUAUUGGAAAAACUUCGCAUAAUGUUUGCUGGUUAUUCACCAGCACCUCCAACCUGCUUUAUUCUGUGUGGUAAUUUUUCAUCUGCACCAUAUGGAAAAAAUCAAGUUCAAGCUUUGAAAGAUUCCCUAAAAACUUUGGCAGAUAUAAUAUGUGAAUACCCAGAUAUUCACCAAAGUAGUCGUUUUGUGUUUGUACCUGGUCCAGAGGAUCCUGGAUUUGGUUCCAUCUUACCAAGGCCACCACUUGCUGAAAGCAUCACUAAUGAAUUCAGACAAAGGGUACCAUUUUCAGUUUUUACUACUAAUCCUUGCAGAAUUCAGUACUGUACACAGGAAAUUAUUGUCUUCCGUGAAGACUUAGUAAAUAAAAUGUGCAGAAACUGUGUCCGUUUUCCUAGCAGCAAUUUGGCUAUUCCUAAUCAUUUUGUAAAGACUAUCUUAUCCCAAGGACAUCUGACUCCCCUACCUCUUUAUGUCUGCCCAGUGUAUUGGGCAUAUGACUAUGCUUUGAGAGUGUAUCCUGUGCCCGAUCUACUUGUCAUUGCAGACAAAUAUGAUCCUUUCAUUAUGACAAAUACUGAAUGCCUCUGCAUAAACCCUGGCUCUUUUCCAAGAAGUGGAUUUUCAUUCAAAGUUUUUUAUCCUUCUAAUAAGACAGUAGAAGAUAGCAAACUUCAAGGCUUUUGAGAUUCUUAAAGACCAUCUGAAGAAAAUUCAUCAGUUUUCUGCUUAACUCUAUAUCUUAUGUGAUUU
rnacentral:sRNA from 1 species